GUUGAACGCUGGCGGCGGGCUUAACACUUGCAAGUCGAGCGGAUGAACGGAGCUUGUGCCUGGCUUCAGCGUCGCACGGGUGAGUAUUGCCUAGGAAUCUGCCUGGCAGUGGGGGAUAACGUCUGGAACCGAGUGCUAAUACCGCAUACGACCUGAGGCGGCUAGUGGGGGGCCUUCGGAUCUUUCGCUAGCUGGUGGAGCUAGUUCGGAUUAGCUAGUUGGUGGGGUAACUGCCUACCAAGGCGGUGAUGCGAAACUCGUCUGAAUGGAAGGUCAGGCACACGGGAAGUGAGGCAGGGUCCAGACUCCUGCGGGAAGCCACAGUCGGGAAUAUUAGGCAAUGGUGGAGAGGCUGAUCCAGCGAGGCGGAGUGUGUGACGACGGUCCUCGGAUGGGAAAGCACUUUAAGUUGGAGGAAAGGGCAGUAAUUUAAUACGUUGCUGUAUUGACGUUACCAGCAGAAGAAGCACCGGCUAACUUCGUG
rnacentral:rRNA from 1 species